GGGGGCGCGUGGCUUCGACAGGGAAAAGCCUACAGUAUGGCAGGCCGAGGUGCUAUCAACCUCGUAAAUCUGGUAGCAAAAGACAACUGCCGAAGAAGCAGUUCCUGUAGCCGCCUAAUUUAGGAGGCUCGUCCAACCUUUCCUCGUCCCGGUGGGAAGGGAUUGGGCGAAGAAAUGCUGGGAUGCACCAGCCCCAUGCCGAUAAGGCUGGCCAAGAUAUAAUCGGCUGGCCCGCUCAAACUCGGCCGAGCAGAGGUUGAUCGGGUGAGAUUAAAAUGCCGGCUAUGCCUGUAGAGGUACUGGCAACUUUUUUCUGGACGGGGAGUUCGACCCUCCCUCGCCUCCACCA
rnacentral:tmRNA from 1 species